rnacentral:rRNA from 1 species
UUGAAAGGGAAACGAUUGAAGUAAGCCAUGCCGGUGGGAACCAACUUAGGGGAACUUCGGGGUCCCUUCUUUCCCUUGCCAGGUAAACUUCGUUUUUAAAUUCCAUAAAUUAAUGGGGGGAAGGUAGCCCCUUCGGAAUUUUAUUAGCCCUUAAAAGAUUGAAUUUUGGGGGCCAAGGAUUCCAACGGAUAUUCUUCGGGCCUACCCGCCUGACCUCUAAUGGGUGUUGGGUUCCGGAUACCAUCCUGACCGUGACCUAAUUCCGGGUUAAAAGGUAAGAGUGGGCUUAAAUUCGUUAAGGAUGUUGACGUA